UGGAUUGAUAAUGACCACUGGUGGCGUAUGAGUUAUGUAUGAUGAAAACGUGUCUGGAACUCCGAGGUCCAA
ensembl:snoRNA